AGAGGACUCACGAGCAGCUGGCCACACCGAUGCAGAGGGAUGACAUGAAUCUGACUGAUGACAAAUCAGUGGUUCAGGAAGCAUGACUCAGAUUAAACCAAGAAUUGGAAUAUACCUCUAAGAAUGUUUAAUUCACCAAAAAUUGUCAGCAGUGUCCAACACAGAUGUAUCUACUCGAAUGUGUUUAGUAAAUUAAAACAAAACCAAACCCUGAGAUCUGGAGGCCUCUGUGAACCAGAAAUAUCAGCUGAUUGAGCAGCUUGUGAGCAAACCAUAAUCCUUAACGCGCCAGCGUGGCAACUCCUGACGUAAGUAUUCCCACCGACUUCAGUGGCACUUCAGUAUGAAAGCUUGA
rnacentral:lncRNA from 1 species